rnacentral:lncRNA from 11 species
CGGAUUCGAAAUGGUCGGACGUCACUGACAAACAAGUGCCAACGUUCUGGAACCGCUGGAGGGCGAUGCCCCGCCCCCCGCGCCCCCCCCCCCUCGCGCCCCCCCUCGCGCGCCGAUAGCCCGCCAAUUUCUCCGCGCGCGCGCCCCUCUACAACCGCCGCGAGGGCUUCUGGCGCCAUUUUGUAUGGCGUUCGCCUCCUCCUUCUGCUCGAAGAGCCGUUAGAGCCGUGAUGGCGCCCCGGGAGAGACUUCUGCCGCGCGGGGGAGAGCCAUGGUGAGGGUGGGAGCCCUGGCGAUGGCUGUGCUGCUGCUUCUGGUGCCGGCCUCGGGGCACCCCGCCCUCGCCCGCCGCCUGCGCGAGCUUCGGCCGGGACAUGGAGUGAAGUAUCAACAAGUAUCAAUCACAACUGUUAAAAAUUAUGCAUACAAAACAUCAGUGAACGUGAUCUUAAAUCAAUCAACAUUGAGAAGGAGCAGCAGAAAUUUGAAAAGUUUCAAAAGAAAUUUAGAAGUACCUAGAAAAAAUGAUUAUAUGAACUGUCAACAAACAAACAUGCUAAAACGUGUAAUUCCUUCUAGAAGAAAAUUAUAUCUAAUUGCAAGGAGAUGCACACACAUUUCUAGAAGGCAUCUAAAAACAAACAAACAUAUUCAAGGGGGACAGUCAAGAAAAAUGUGGAAUACAAUUUUGAAUAAUAGGUUUCAAUUGAAAAUGAAAUGCCACAGUAUAGUUAAUGUUAGAAUUAAACCUGACACUAAAAGAAUUGAGGAAUCACAUAUAUGUGUUGAAAAUAAAUACAUAGAAACUGUGUCAUCACUGAGUUGUUUAGCACUUCAAGCAAAUUUUAUAUUAGAUGCUGUCCUAAAAUGUCAGGAAGUUUUUGAAAACAUUCUGAAAUUAAAGUUAAAUCAAGUACGAAUGCUAAAACAACAUAUUAACACAGGCAUGCUGCAAAUGAAAAAAUAUAAACAAUAUAAUGAUCAAAUAUCAGAUCAUAGCAAAGAAUAUUCUAAAGAAAACAGAAAUGCUUUUGAUAAAAUUAAUUAUGGAAUGUUUACUGAUAGACUAAAAGAAGUUAUUUCAGAGAAAGAAGGCCAAUAUAUGGAUUUUGGAAAUUAUGUGUUAUCAUGUCAAAGUUUUCAAUGGACCACAAGCUUUCCCAACAGAGAAAUGAUGAAGGUGUGGAAACAGAAAAUGCUAACUAAAAAAAACAUGAAUGAAAACCACAGGUGUCUGUUUGUGCAUGCAUGUACUUAUCAAAGAAAUAGUGAUGUACAGAAGAUGUUCUCAACACAUAACAUGUCUAAUAUUCAAGGAAAUGACAUAUUCACAUUUCGAAGACAAAUGUACAGAAAUAAAAAACUAAUUGGAAAAUGGAAAAAAGUGCAAAUGCAACCUUCUGUAAUACAUCCUGCCUUUCCAACUAUUAAAAUAGCUAUAGAAGUAUACUGUGGAAAAUUUAAUUCAGAAGUCAAUCCAGCAAAACCAUCAGUUCUUAUGAUGAACACACUGCAAUAUCUCAUACACUCCUCCCAGAGAGGAAAAAAAUAUUCUAAUGUUACCCAGGAGAGAUAUAGAAUUAAAAGUUUGAAAGCCCAUAUGGUAAGAAAGCAUCUUGAUACAGAAGAUAUAUUUCUCUGUAAACACAUUUCUAAUAGUCCAUUGGUUGUUAAAAGAACCAAACGAUCAGCACAAGGAGGAUCUGUACCAGUACCUGUUGAUGUUCUGAAGCGUUUAACCUCUGCUCUUAUAGCAGUUGCUACUAUUUUUGGGAUAGCUUUCCUUGCUUUGGCAUUAACAGGUUGUUACCUGUUUGAUAAAAGAAGGGAGCUUGGUCGGUUUUUUGACAUAAAGUUGAAAAAUAGAAAACCAAAAAAACAUACAAAACCUGUUGAAAAUCAAAGUUCCACACCUAUCUCUGUUUCGCAAAGGUUUCAUUUAGCACAAUCACAGGGAUCAAGAAGAAAUCAGACAGCAUUGGCAUCAGUGACAGCUGCUGAAGCUUACUCCAUAAAGGAAUCUGAUUUCAUUAUUGUGAAACAAAUAUAUGACAACUCUGAUUCAGAAGACAGUUCAGGAAUGUCACAUGAUCAUCAUGGUUUGACUGUAAAAUCCAGAGCGUAUGUGUUUUCUUCUCGGUCCAAUGAGAGCAUAAGAUCAUUCUGUGGUGAUGUAGGUGAUCUUUCCUCUUCAUUACCUUCCUCAGCAGAUGAAAUUAAAACAAAGAAUAGCUUUACAAAUCUACCCAAUUCUAUUGUAAAAGGGAAAGAAUCAGUGCCUCAACCAGAAUCUUCACAUGAUAACCAAGAACAGUGUACCUCUGGUGAUUUAUUAUUACAGCUAAAGAGAACAAAAGAUUCACCGGAACUGAGCUUUUCAGAUGAAAUCACAAUAGAGAAUCAAGUCUCAAAUCCAUCUGCCACUACUCCAAAAGAAAAAGAAAUGUUUCCUGUUAUACCUCAGCCAGACUAUUUAUGUGGUAAUCAAGAACAAUGUACUACUUCUAGUGAUACAGAACCACAGCUAAAGAAAACUACAGAUUCUUCACAACCUUACUUGUUAGCCGAAAUCACGGUAGAAGACCAGGUUUCAAAUAUGCCUACCACUAUCCCAAAAGAAGAAGAAUUGGUUCCUGUUGUAACUCAGCCAGGAUGUCAUAAUUACAAACAGUGAUGUUCCACAGCUAAAAGGAGACUCGAUUUCAAAAUCAAAAUCUGAAAAUGACAUAAGGCUUUCUUCUUGUAGAGGACCAUAUGUAUCUCGGUCAUUGACUCGUCUUUAUAAAUGUCCAUGACCAGUAUCCAUUUGUCUCAUUCAAUAUUUUUAAUCUUACAACCGAUGAUCCAGUUAUCCUCUAAAAAACAAUUAUUUCAACAAAUAUGCAUACAUAUGAAUGAAGAAAUAGACAGUCCCUGAAUAGUAGGAAUAUGUCUAAACCGUUUUAAAAUGUUUUAUUCAUAUUUGGCAACAUUUUCUUUCUUAGAAAUUAAAUCUAACUAAAUGUAUUCAAUGUUAUAUUAACUUGGGUAUGAGGAGGAAAUUAUUUUGUUAUCAAGAUUUAACAUGAAUCUAUUUUUGUAUUUUCCUUUCACGGCUAUAAAAUAGUAAAUCUGGAGGAAUGAUUAAAUAUUAGGUUUUUGGCGGCUAUUUGAAUUUUAAAAACUUAUCAGAAUAAAACACAUUUUUUGUACCUGUUAAUGUUAUUUUUUAUAAUACCUUUAUAAAAGAAGCAGUUUUUACCAGGAAGAACACUAAAAUAAUAAUUAGCAUCAAUAAGAAGGGCUUUGGCUAUCUCAAUUUGUCUGGGAUUCAAAUAAACAAUACUUUAAACAAUGGCCAUAUUGCAGAUGGACUAAAGACCACCUUGCUUUAAAGCCACACAGAAGGUUCAAG